UACGUAGGGCGCAAGCGUUAUCCGGAAUUAUUGGGCGUAAAGAGCUCGUAGGCGGUUUGUCGCGUCUGCCGUGAAAGUCCGGGGCUCAACUCCGGAUCUGCGGUGGGUACGGGCAGACUAGAGUGAUGUAGGGGAGACUGGAAUUCCUGGUGUAGCGGUGAAAUGCGCAGAUAUCAGGAGGAACACCGAUGGCGAAGGCAGGUCUCUGGGCCGAUACUGACGUGAGGAGCGAAAGCGUGGGGAGCGAACAGG
rnacentral:rRNA from 1 species